CCCUUAGAUGUUCUGGGCUGCACGCGUGUUACAAUCGGGCGUACAACAAGAUUGCAAAUCCUAGUGGAUGAGUGGUUCUUCGAAAUUUUCUGAAGACUGGGAUAGUUGAUUGAAAUUAUUCAACUCGAACGAGGAAUUCCUUGUAAUUGUAAUUCAUUAUAUUGUAAUGAAUACGUCCCUGCCCUUUGUACACACUGCCCGUCGCUCCUACCGAUUGAACGAUCCGGUGAAUUAUUUGGAGUAGCUCUGGAAGUUGCAGAACUUCCUAUGUCACGAAAUUUUGUAAACCUUAUCGUUUAGAGGAAGGAAAAGUCGUAACA
rnacentral:rRNA from 1 species